rnacentral:rRNA from 1 species
AGCAUUAAGUAUCCCACUGGGGAGUACGCGCAACGGUGAAACUCAAAGGAAUUGACGGGGGCCCGCACAAGCGGAGGAACAUGUGGUUUAAUUCGAUGAUACGCGAGGAACCUUACCCGGGCUUGAACUGCAGCUGAACGAUUCAGAGAUGAUGAGGCCCUUCGGGGCAGCUGUGGAGGUGCUGCAUGGUUGUCGUCAGCUCGUGCCGUGAGGUGUCGGCUUAAGUGCCAUAACGAGCGCAACCCUUGCGGUCAGUUGCCAUCAGGUUAUGCUGGGCACUCUGGCCGGACUGCCACCGUAAGGUGUGAGGAAGGUGGGGAUGACGUCAAAUCAGCACGGCCCUUACGUCCGGGGCUACACACGUGUUACAAUGGGGCAUACAGAGAGCCGGUCGUUCGCAAGUGCGAUCCAAUCCUUAAAGUGCCUCGUAGUUCGGAUUGGGGUCUGCAACCCGACCCCAUGAAGCUGGAUUCGCUAGUAAUCGCGCAUCAGCCAUGGCGCGGUGAAUACGUUCCCGGGCCUUGUACACACCGCCCGUCAAGCCAUGAAAGCCGGGGGCGCCUGAAGUCCGUGACCGCAAGGAUCGGCCUAGGGCGAAACCGGUGAUUGGGGCU